GGUUCAAGCAGAGAGGAGGAAACAGUGUAACUAUGGAAUGUAAAGAUGGUGGAGGUGGCUGCCUACAAAAACUGCUUCAAAUUUGAGGAAACAUGUAAAUGGUACAAAAAGUAAAUGUGUAAAUAUAUAUAUAUUUUUUUAAAGUAAAGUUGUAAAUGUAUUUUAUUGCCAUGAAUGGCGUUUGUUGUGUCAUUCAAUCUGUAGCGUAAUGCUAACGUUAGCUAGCUCAUCCUGUUGCUAGCUAGUUAGAAGCUAACCCUGACCAAUGUCUUUACACAGCUGAAGGAACUGUAAGCUGUAGUGCGGGCUACUACCUCAUUGACAUUAUGGUGGCUAGUAGUUAGCCAUCCCCAUAAUUUAAAUUGUUGGGGAUAGCUAAAAGUGAAAUUAAGGAACUUGUGAAGAUAAAAUAAAUUAUUUUGAGACCUGGGAUUUUUAGAGGAAACAUCCAUUAAAGAUGACAAACUACAAUAUGUUCACCUUUGCAACCACAAACAAACAAACCAAGGAACUAUCAAACACCUCUUCAACUUGCAAGCAAGCAAAGAUAUCUGUAAUGAUGGCAGUGGGAGGAGCCAGGUGCAUCUCACAAGCAACUGUUGACAAGCUUGUCAUUGAUUUGAUCUGUGAGGGCCAACAGAUAUUCUCUUUGGUCAAACAAGCAGCUUUUAAAGAGUUGGUAACCACUCUGCAUCCUCAAUGCAAAGUCAUCUCCAGACCUACUGUUCGUUUAAGAAUAUAUGAAGCAGCCAAUCACACGAAGAAGACCGUUAUGGCACAACAUGGCAGGGUACAUUAUGUUGCCACCACCACUGAUUGGACAGCUCAUCAAAGGAGUUACAUCAGGGUCAAGUCACUGGAUAGAUUAAGAAACACUGAGACGUUCUGCUGCACUCACUUGCAGGAGAUUGACAGGUUCCCACACAUGUGAUGUGCUUGCAGGUGCCCUCGAUGACAUCCAUUGUGCAUACAGGAUCAGGGGGAAAAGUAGUAAGAACCAAAACAGACAGUGGAUCAAACUUCAUCAAAGCGUUCAAUGUUUUUUUUUUUGUGAGCAGAGCCAGGCAGUCGAGUCAGCAGACCGAGACUCAGAUGCUGAAGAGCCAGCAGAGCAGGUUGAAUGGCAAGACACCUAUUCCAUCCUGAAAAAUGACAGUGGCCUAGAAUAAUCAACUCCCUCAGCAUCAACGGUGUGCAUGUCACCUGCUGAACCUAAUUGCAACAGAUUCUGCGUUGGCAGAAACACAUAGUGAUGGCUACAAAAGGUUGUCCAGAUCAUCUUUUGCCAAAUGCCAUGUGGAGUAAAACGGGACGGUCAACCUUAGCUGCUGAAGUUGUAGAGAAUGAGUGCAAACUGCAGUUGAUCCGUCCAAAUCAAAACAAGUUGGAACUCAACUUACCUGACUGUGGAGAGGAUCACACAUAUCAUACAAGAGAAGGGGGAGGAUACCAUAAGAAAUGUGUGACAAGAAUUAAAAGUGAAAAUGCUGAGCCUGGCAGAAAUGUCCUUCUUGAAUGAGUACUGCAAAGUGAUGAAGCCUUUGGUCUCAGCUUUGACCAUUCUACAGUCUGUGACCAACAUGCAUAUGGGGUGGCUGCUACCAGUGAUCUUCUUACUAAAAAACAAAACUUCAAAAAUGUCGGGAAGCAUCUAACCAAAUGUGCCUACCACUUAUCAGAGCCAGUCAGAAUGGCAAAUUCAGAGAGAAGUGAUGCGAGUUCAGUGUUCGAUAGGUUGUUCCACAGAUAAUAUGGCUUUUGAACAUUUGUAUAUGUUAAGUUGAAGAUUUAAUAUUAAAAUCAGCUGUGGUGGAUCUUA